AAUUCGCUUUAAAUUUAUCCACCCGCUCCUCGGUGCUUCCUUUUUCUAUCUACCUAAAAUAUUCAAGAUCUCUUAUCUAGUCGAUGGACACGCGCACACAUACACAUACUCACGCCACACACAUACUCGACUAGACGAGAUCGUUGACACGCUUUGGAUAUACUUACUACAUACAUGUAUCUAUGUGGGAUUGGUACGAGUACGAAAUAACCGCAUGCGUAUUGAAACAACUUAGAUGUCUUGGAAAACUAUGGAAUGUCAGAAUAUCAAUUAUGCAGUAUGGAUAUCCACAGACGUUUCGAAGAAAUCGAGAGCCAUCGUGACGAUUGGAUAGCCCAACCCAUUUUUCUACUACUUUGCCAGCAACCUCGAUAAGAAGGUAGACGAUGGAAAGGCAAAGGGGGAUAAAGAGGGUAGACGAUAGAAGAAUAAAGGGGAAAGAAUUUGCUGCUGGGGGUGAGACAAUGGAAAAAGUACCGCCAUCUUUAAUUCCGUACCCAACCGUCGCUCGAGCGAUACCCCUCGUCCACCCCCUUAGUCCACUACUUCAAAUACCCCUCCCUUACUCUUGACACUAUCUCCCCUCCUCCCACAAUGAACGAGCUUGGCCCUCGGUGAAAGCAGAAAGAAAAAGUGACUUCGAUUUGGCACUGUGUCCAUUUGGUAAUACCUGCGAUAAACAUUAAAUACUAAACAGCAAUACAUAAAAGAGAUGAAAGCAUUACCGCUAUAUUUCAAAUUUAUCAAAAUAUUGUAUACAUUAUUAUUUGAUAAAGCAAAGUAGAGUAAAUAUUGUGAAUAAUAACUGAAAUUAAUAAAAACUAAUUAGGAUGUUUCGACUUUACAAUUUUCAAAAAUGGAGCUCUUUCAAAGCAAAGCUGAGUCGAUACAAACGUUGUACUAUAUUACCGAUGCACCACUAUUCCAAAACUCAUUCAGAAGGUAUAAGGUCCUAUCGGCAAGCUUUAUAAAAAUAUGUGUUUUCAUGAAAUAGCUUAAAUUAUAUUAAAUAACUACGAAUCUUACAAUAGUUCUAAGACUAACAAUUUUGUUAUUAUUAUAUUGUAUAAAAUAUGGAAUAAUAAAAGUUUA